UACGGAGGGUGCAAGCGUUAAUCGGAAUUACUGGGCGUAAAGCGCGCGUAGGCGGUUUGAUAAGUCGAUUGUGAAAUCCCCGGGCUCAACCUGGGAAUUGCAGUCGAGACUGUCAGACUAGAGUGUGGGAGAGGGUGGUGGAAUUCCCGGUGUAGCGGUGAAAUGCGUAGAGAUGUGGAGGAAUACCGAUGGCGAAGGCAGCCCCCCUGGGAUAACACUGACGCUCAUGCACGAAAGCGUGGGGAGCAAACAGG
rnacentral:rRNA from 1 species